AGCGAACGCUGGCGGCAGGCUUAACACAUGCAAGUCGAGCGGCCGUAGCAAUACGGCAGCGGCAGACGGGAGAGUAACACGUGGGAACGUACCCUUCAGUUCGGAACAACCAAGGGAAACUUUGGCUAAUACCGAAUACGUCCGUAAGGAGAAAGAUUUAUCGCUGAAGGAUCGGCCCGCGUCUGAUUAGCUAGUUGGUGAGGUAACGGCUCACCAAGGCGACGAUCAGUAGCUGGUCUGAGAGGAUGAUCAGCCUCACUGGGACUGAGACACGGCCCAGACUCCUACGGGAGGCAGCAGUGGGGAAUAUUGGACAAUGGGCGCAAGCCUGAUCCAGCCAUGCCGCGUGGAUGAUGAAGGCCUUAGGGUUGUAAAGUCCUUUUAACGGGGAAGAUAAUGACGGUACCCGUAGAAUAAGCCCCGGCUAACUUCGUGCCAGCCGCCGCAGUAAAAC
rnacentral:rRNA from 1 species